UGGGGAAUAUUGCACAAUGGGCGCAAGCCUGAUGCAGCCAUGCCGCGUGUAUGAAGAAGGCCUUCGGGUUGUAAAGUACUUUCAGCGGGGAGGAAGGGAGUAAAGUUAAUACCUUUGCUCAUUGACGUUACCCGCAGAAGAAGCACCGGCUAACUCCGUGCCAGCAGCCGCGGUAAUACGGAGGGUGCAAGCGUUAAUCGGAAUUACUGGGCGUAAAGCGCACGCAGGCGGUUUGUUAAGUCAGAUGUGAAAUCCCCGGGCUCAACCUGGGAACUGCAUCUGAUACUGGCAAGCUUGAGUCUCGUAGAGGGGGGUAGAAUUCCAGGUGUAGCGAUGAAAUGCGUAGAGAUCUGGAGGAAUACCGGUGGCGAAGGCGGCCCCCUUGACGAAGACUGACGCUCAGGUGCGAAAGCGUGGGGAGCAAACAGG
rnacentral:rRNA from 1 species